rnacentral:lncRNA from 1 species
AUGUUGGUCGAUCCCUCUCUAAGUUUAUAAGAUAAGGAUGAAGUUUGAUUCAAAAUUUAAUUCAAAUUUUAUUUGAAUUGGUGAUAAGGAUCAACCAACACUUGAAUUUGAACCAAAACUACCUUAUUCUUAUCCUUAUCUUCCAUGGGAUACCAACCUUAAAAGAGGAUCAGUUUUGUGUGAGAUAAAAAGUGAUUUUUGGCAUGAGACACCUGAGAGAGGGGACGUAAAAAGUUGAGAGUGGAUUGGGCUUCCGUGCGUAAGAAACAAAGGAAGUGUUCUUCCUCUCGGAUGUGAGCUGUGGGUUCUAGGGAUUCAUCUCUAGGUUUUGUGAGAAGAAAAAUACAAGAGUCUUGUCCAAUCUUCCACACCACCACCUCCUCGUAAAGCUUCAUCUUCUGAUUCGGAAGAGUCUGGGAGAUCCAAAGAAAGGAGCUUGGAUCAGCCAUCCAGAGCCUUCGACACGAGCUAGCACUCCCAUGAAGAAAGAUCCGAUCAGAGCUUCGAGUGAAUGAUCUGUAGAGGACGGAUGACCUGUGCAGCUGUUCGGCAUCAGCGAGAGCUUUAUACCAUACUUACCAACAAUGAAGAUCAUCG